AGCUCCAAUAGCGUAUAUUAAAGUUGUUGCAGUUAAAAAGCUCGUAGUCGAAGUUCUGGCUGGCUCCUCUUCCGGCUUCGGUCGAUCUGGAGCCUAGUCAUCCGCUUGAGAACCCAUGUUCGUCCUUUACUGGUCGCGUGGGGGAACAGGUACUUUACUUUGAAAAAAUUAGAGUGUUUCAGGCAGGCUGUUGCUCGAAUACUCCAGCAUGGAAUAAUGGAAUAGGACUUUGUUCUAUUUUGUUGGUUAUUAGAACAAAGUAAUGAUUAAUAGGGACAGUUGGGGGCAUUCGUACUUAAUUGUCAGAGGUGAAAUUCUUGGAUUUAUUAAAGACGAACUAAUGCGAAAGCAUUUGCCAAGGAUGUUUUCA
rnacentral:rRNA from 1 species